AUUAAGCUGAAAAAGAAUUCCUCCUACACUUGGCAGAGCAUUAUGCAAGGGAUGAAUACCCUGAAACAUGGAUACAUGUGGAGAGUAGGGGAUGGUGAAAAAAUAAAUAUUUGGAGGGAUGCGUGGAUUCCUAACUCACCAUCCAGAAUGAUUAUUACCCCAAGAGGUAACCAGUUACUAUCAAAGGUGAGUGAUUGAAUUGAUCCAGCUACAGGUCACUGGGAUGUGCCACUUGUGGAGCAAACCUUCUGGCCGAUUGAUGUGGAACGGGUCCUUGCUUUACCACUACACACAUGAUAUGAGGACUUUGUAGCAUGGAGUUUGAAUAAACAUGGAAUUUUUACAGUGAAAUCGUCCUACCAUGCUCUAUGGUACUUUCAGCAUGGCCGUAAAUUGCAGAGGACAGAUGGUUUCGGAGCCACUAGUGCUAACCCAACAUGGGAAAAGGUUUGGAAACUGAAUUGUCCGGGAAAAGUUAAAAAAUUUCUUUGGAGAACCUUACAUGGAACACUGCCAUGCAAUGUGGUUCUUGCUAAUAGACACAUCCCAGUCCGGCCGACGUGUCCUGCAUGUAAACAAGGAGCAGAAGAUGUGUUUCAUGUACUAUUUUGAUGCCAUAAGGCUAGAGAGGUUUGGCGGCAGUUGGGGCUAGAGGAUGUUAUACGCCAUGCAUGUGGGGUAGACCGAGCUGGGGAGGAGAUUCUAUCAUACUUAAAUUGCCAUGCUCUUAAUAGUAAAGCUGCCGCCAGAUGGGCUGAUGAGGAGAAUAUGAACCAGAGACUUGUGACACCGGUCACUAAUGAGGAGAUAGAGCAUGCGUUGUUCCAAAUGGGCCCAACAAAGGCCCCGGGCCCUGAUGGGCUGCCAGCCCUCUUUUAUCAGCGACACUGGUCGCUUGUAAAGGAAGAAGUGUGCACAGUGGUGCGUGAUUUUCUUGCUGGAGUAGCAGCUCCGGAGGCUUUUAAUGCGACGGUGAUUGUUAUGACCCCGAAAGUUAACUCACCGGAGCUGCUUUCACAAUUUCACCCAAUUAGCCUCUGUAAUGUUUUGUAUAAAAUCGCCUCUAAGGUGCUAGCUAACAGGUUAAAAGCUAUUCUGCCGAUACUUAUCUCGGAGCUUUCGUCCCGGGCCGACUAA
rnacentral:rRNA from 1 species